rnacentral:rRNA from 1 species
GCAUAUCAAUAAGCGGAGGAAAAGGUAGUAACAAGGAUUCCCCUAGUAACGGCGAGUGAAGCGGGAACAGCUCAAUUUUAAAAUCUGGCCCUUUCAGGGUCCGAGUUGUAGUCUAGAGAAACCACGUCCGCGCCGGACCUUGGACAAGUCGGUUGGAAUACCGCGCCAGUGAGGGUGACAGCCCCUUUAUUGCCAAGGACGACCGUGUGCAUUGUGUCGGGUUUUCAAAGAGUCGAGUUGUUUGGGAAUGCAGCUCUAAUCGGGUGGUAAAUUCCAUCUAAAGCUAAAUAUUGGCGAGAGACCGAUAGCGAACAAGUACCGUGAGGGAAAGAUGAAAAGCACUUUGGAAAGAGAAUGAAACAGUAUGUGAAAUUGCUGGAAGGGAAACGAUUGAGGUUAGACUUGCUGGCACGACACUCAGCCCUCACGGGUGUAUUUGUUGUGCAUUGGCAGGCCAGCAUCGGUUUGCAGUCGGGUAAAAGGGUGCAGGGAACGUAGCAACCUCGCUGUUGUGUUAUAGACCUGCACUGGAUGCCCGAUCGCAGACCGAGGUCAGCAGGGCGCCGCAAGGCAAUGCCUCUUGGCAUCGAGCCCUUAGGAUGCUGGUAGAAUAGCCUUAACCGACCCGUCUUGAAACACGGACCAAGGAGUCUAACAUGCCUGCGAGUGUUUGAGUGCCAAAACUCGAGCGCGGAAUGAAAGUGAAUGAAGGAGGGAUCCUGCAAAGGUGCACCUUCGACCGGCCCUGAAGUUUACGGACGGGUCUGAGUAAGAGCAUGUAUGUUGGGACCCGAAAGAUGGUGAACUAUGCCUGAAUAGGGUGAAGCCAGAGGAAACUCUGGUGGAGGCUCGUAGCGGUUCUGACGUGCAAAUCGAUCGUCAAAUUUGGGUAUAGGGGCGAAAGACUAAUCGAACCAUCUAGUAGCUGGUUCCCGCC